AAAACAUUUGUCUUCCACUUCUCGCCUCUAAAUGUCUUGUACAUUCUAGCAGACACAUAACCAGCUGGAGUUCCUAGUAGGACCCACAGUACGACUGCACAGGUCAUCAAAGCACCACGGUUGGCAGGAGAAAGAAAACCAAGGCAAGCUAGGAACAGAGUAAUAAAAGUCAUAAUGAAAAUCUGUGUUCCUUGACCCAAGA
rnacentral:lncRNA from 1 species